rnacentral:rRNA from 1 species
GACGAACGCUGGCGGCAGGCCUAACACAUGCAAGUCGAGCGGCCGUAGCAAUACGGCAGCGGCAGACGGGAGAGUAACACGUGGGAACGUACCCUUUGGUUCGGAACAACCCAGGGAAACUUGGGCUAAUACCGGAUAAGUCCGUAAGGAGAAAGAUUUAUCGCCAAAGGAUCGGCCCGCGUCUGAUUAGCUAGUUGGUGAGGUAAUGGCUCACCAAGGCGACGAUCAGUAGCUGGUCUGAGAGGAUGAUCAGCCUCACUGGGACUGAGACACGGCCCAGACUCCUACGGGAGGCAGCAGUGGGGAAUAUUGGACAAUGGGCGCAAGCCUGAUCCAGCCAUGCCGCGUGGAUGAUGAAGGCCCUAGGGUUGUAAAGUCCUUUCGGCGGGGAAGAUAAUGACGGUACCCGCAGAAGAAGCCCCGGCUAACUUCGUGCCAGCAGCCGCCGUAAGAC